rnacentral:lncRNA from 1 species
UUUUUAUUGCAGAGCAACAAAAUUUUAAUUGAACUUAAAAUUAAACUCUAUAUUUUGACAGUCCCCGACAACGACGCCAAAAACUUGAUCAGAAAAAUAGCAAGUGCGCUAUUUUGCCUAUUAUAGUAAUAAAGGGGAAAUUCCCCGAAUGUCGAUCUCAAGGAAUGCAAGCUAAUAUUGAGUUCAAUUCAUUGUUUAAUUCAUUGUUUAAUUAAACAAAAAGUAUGAUUUGGGUCUCUAGAUUCAAAAUUAUAAAAAUAAAGGCAAAAUAAAAAAUAAUAAAAAUAAGGGUUUGCAAGGUGUGAGGAACAAUGCUAGGGAAGGUGUAUGAUUUAUUCCUGUAACAACUCUGAGUCACUAUUGCAUCAACAAAU